rnacentral:lncRNA from 1 species
UUACUCCCUGCAUCCAUCAUGAGUUUAUCACUGGUUCAAGGGUUCAGCAAAUCUCUAGCGAUGACUGUGCUCUCUGAAAUUGGUGACAAAACGUUCUUCGCAAAAAACCUAUGGUGGAUUGUCGGAGGUGAGUGACGGUGGAGAUGAAGGUGAUGAAUGAUGUGUGCGAUUAGGGUUUUUUUUGGGGAAGAUGAAGGUGAGUGACGAAGGUGUUCAUUUUCUUUUAAAAACCUUAAUAUCUUGUUCAUACCCAUAUUCAAAAACCUUAACAACAGGGUAUUCGAAUCCAAAUUCAACAUACCCAGAUUUAAAAUCUUGUUCAUUUUCUUUCAAAACCUUAAU